rnacentral:rRNA from 1 species
AUUGAACGCUGGCGGCAGGCCUAACACAUGCAAGUCGAGCGAGCGGCGGACGGGUGAGUAAUGUCUGGGAAACUGCCUGAUGGAGGGGGAUAACUACUGGAAACGGUAGCUAAUACCGCAUACCAUCAGAUGUGCCCAGAUGGGAUUAGCUAGUAGGUGGGGUAAUGGCUCACCUAGGCGACGAGCCCUAGCUGGUCUGAGAGUAUGACCAGCCACGCUGGAACUUGGACACGGUCCAGAGUAAUACGGGAGGCAGCAGUGGAGAAUAUUGCACAAUGGGCGCAAGCCUGAUGCAGCCAUGCCGCGUGUAUGAAGAAGGCCUUCGGGUUGUAAAGUACUUUCAGCGAGGAGGCGUUACUCGCAGAAGAAGCACCGGCUAACUCCGUGCCAGCAGCCGCGGUAAUUC